rnacentral:rRNA from 1 species
AUUGAACGCUGGCGGCAGGCCUAACACAUGCAAGUCGAACGAGUGGCGGACGGGUGAGUAAUGUCUGGGAAACUGCCCGAUGGAGGGGGAUAACUACUGGAAACGGUAGCUAAUACCGCAUACCAUCGGAUGUGCCCAGAGGGGAUUAGCUAGUAGGUGGGGUAAAGGCUCACCUAGGCGACGAUCCCUAGCUGGUCUGAGCGGAUGACGUGCCACACUGGAACUGAGACAGGGUCCAGCCCCCAACGGUAGGCAGCAGUGGGGAAUAUUGCACAAGGUGCGCAAGCUUGAUGCAGCCAUGCCGCGUGUAUGAAGAAGUCCUUCGGGUUGUAAAGUACUUGCAGCGGGGAGGCGUUACCCGCAGAAGAAGCACCGGCUAACUACGUGCCAGCAGCCGCGGUAAUUC